CUCCAAUAAUUCCAUUUUAUUUUAAGUAUCAAAACUCAUUAUUUAACAAAUACCACAUAGUGGUUUCAUGACUUCUGUGGCUAAACAGGCUAGAACCUCCACACCCCAAGAGAUUAGAGCCUUCAUCCAGCGCUUUGGACUGCUUAGCCACUUUGCCUCCACGAAAAGCAAUUAUUUUAGAACGUUGUGUAUAUUACCUUCUCUAUUCCCUUUUAACAUACACUCAUCAGGAAUUUCAUGUCCUCCAAACUGGCAAAAGUAGAGUUAAAAUUGUGUGCACAGACCGUCUCAAAGAUUCCCACCUGCCAAACAUCCAUCCUGAUUAUCUACCCUGUUAUGAGUCCUCCCAGAUAUUGAGAAAAGACAGAAUUCUUUUCGGGACGUUCAUUGCCCCUCUCUCCAGCCAACCAGGACCCAGGAGACCCGAGUUUCGGUCCCAGCGCUGUCUUUUAUGUUACCCGGGUGUGAAGCAGGAGGUAGCCUUUACACCUGGGAGAAUAAAAUCCAUUCGCUUCUAGAAAAAUCAGUCAUCGAGAAAACGCUUGAAAACCCCCAUGGACGACCUGGCUCUGGGACUGAAACGGCGCUUAGUUGACGUCUCAUUUUUGCCGGCUGCGUUUAGGAGUAGGCAGCAGAGAGUUAUUUUUAAUGUGCACAACCAGAAAACAGAGGACGUCCCCAUCCCCAGCCCCAGCCUCCCAUCUACCCACCUAGGAUUCGAGUGCCUGCUUUUUAAUAAAGUCCUUACUAUGAAAGACGUGGAAAGAAACGUCUGUACAGACAGAUCUACUUUUUGCUCAAUGUGUUCAGGGCCUUAAUUCCCAAAGUCCAGGACGGGAAUCCUUUUGCGUUAUGCGUGUCUUCGCAUACUACCGGGCCCAGAGAGGCUGUGUCCUGCCCUCUCCAACCCCACGAAAGCGUUCUGGGCGGGUCCCGGGUCUCCCCUCCCCAGUCCCAACCUCCUUGUCCCUCAACCCUCAGUCGUCUCAGUCCCCGCCUGCCCUGGGUGCCCUGGGCCCCGCAGACGCACCUGAAUUCCCCCGGCCCUACGUAGGGCCUGCUCCUGGACGCGGAGCCGAAAUCGGUUCAAAGCCUGCGGGCGGGGCUCCUUGCAGGUCCCCGAAAGAAUGAGAACCGGGACCCCCCCCCCCACCACCGGGACGUGGAAGGACGGGUUACAGAGGAGAACGCGUUAUCUCCUCUGGGAGGCGAUUUUCAGAACUUACUGCGGGAAAAAAAAAAAAAAAAGAAAAGAAAAAAGAAAGAACCCCCCCCCCCAAAAAAAAAACAAGCCCAAGAGGAGCAGAAGAAAACAAAGGGUGGGAGAAAACUGGGACAAAUUACUUUUUCUUGGUCAGUCUUCAAGUGUCGACCAAACUCCUUGAGGCCAAAGCAGUGGAGUCCUGCUCCCCGCCCCUCCCCCACCUCCGCACCCCUCCUGAGAGGCCCCACGUGACACAGAACUUUACUGGCCUCUUGAAAAUGACAUCACAAGACCUUAAGAAGAGCUAAACGGGCUGCCACCUGUAGCUGAAGAGUGCCUUAACGCCGAGGCCCACGGCUCCAUGCGAGAGAUGCCUGUUCCUUCUCUGAUAAAUUUGGCAGCUUCACGUACCCUAAGGCCCAGAAAGGACCUGUUUCCUCAACACCCUGACCAGCACAGAACAUUGUAAUAAUGACAAUUAUCAGUCAUUUAGCUCCAACUAAGCCCCAGAUAUUGUCAUAAAUUCUUUACAUAUAUUGAGUCAUAGAAUAAUCUCAAUAAUAUAUAAGGAUGUUCAUAUAAUCCACAUUUUACAGAAAAGAAAAUUGGAGUUGUGACCGAUUAAUCACAUAAUCACAGUCGUCUAAAUCACAUAGAUUGUAGAUGGAGGAAUAAGAAUGUCAGUGCCUGUGAUUGAAUGAAAAAUGCCCCAAAAGAUAUCCAUGCUCUAAUUCUUGGAAUCUCUGAAUAUUACCUUACUUUGCACAGACCCCCAAAAGGGGGGUCUUCGGAGAAAAAGUUAAAGAUGAAGAAAUUAUCCUGGAUUAUCCAAGUGGAGCUCAAAUACCAUCACAAGUGCCUUUAAUAGGGAGAGGCACAGGGAGAUUAUACAGUUACAGAAGAGAAGAAGACAAUGUGACCACACGGACACAGAUAGAAGCAAUGCCACCACCAGCCAAGGAAUGCGAGCAGCCACCAGAGGCUGGGAAAAGGUAAGGACAUAUUCUUCCCUAGAGCCUCCGGAGGGAGCAUAGCCCUGCCAACACCUUGAUUUCAAACCAGUGAUACUGAGUUUGGACUUUUGGCCUCCAGAACUGUGAGAAAAGAAGUCACUUAUUUUAGGCCAUCAAGUUUGUGGUACUGUAAUUUGUUACAGAAGCUACAGAAAACUAAUUCAACAUCUUUAAGUGCUAUUCGGCACACUACCACAAACAACUGUUUUUGUUUUGCUGUUGUUUGCCAAUCUGAUAUGUUAAAGACAUUAUCUCACUGUAUUUCUAUAGUUUCAUUUUUUAAACUUCUUUUACUUCUUACUUCUAUAUUGCUUUUAUUAUUAAAUUGGUUGCACCAACUGGGAACAACAGAUUUUAUUGUGUCUGCUAUCAACCUUAUCUCAGGCAACAGAUAGAAAUGAAUAAAAUUAACUCUUUAAAACAUAAGUUACAAAUAUUUUCCCCCCCAGUUUUACUUGAUGUUUUGUCACUGUGUUUAUGCCUUUUUUGAGGGGAUGAGGGUACAUCCCAGUGGAAUUUUUUAAAUGUUGUUUAAUGCAGUGAAUUAUGUUAAACUCUCAUUGUCUCUGAAUUUUGUGUAAAAAAUUAGUUUUCUGUACCAAAGUUAUAUAAAAUUUCUGUCUUGGAAUUUCUAGUAAUUAUAACUGUGGGUUUGUUUCAUUCUUUACUUUUACAAUUUGCUUGUAUUUGGAAUUUAUUUUAGUCUCAUAGCUUUAAGCUUUUCUUUUCCUAAGUGGCUGUCCAAUUAGCCCAACACAUGUUUUGAAUAAUCUGCCUAUUUCUAUUGAUUUAAGUUGCCAAUGAUUACAGUCUUAACCAUUUUUUUCUCUCAACUUUUGAGUGUUUCCAUUGGAGAAAAAAAACUAUUUUGGUGGCCUAACAAUGGUUUGUUCACUCUCUCAUAAUACCUGAGCAUGUCAUUUACUCAAGGCAUACAUUGACAGAAGAUUCAAGUGUGGGAAUUCAGUAUGUCUGUUGUUUACUAUUCUAUUUAUGAAGCAGCAGAGUCAGCCUCAAACAUAUUAGCAAUCCCUGUUAAUGUUUUUAUAAAUACAAAUAUUUGUUAUUUUUAAUUUUCUAAAAGUAAUACAAAGUUGUAACUAAUUUAAGCUUUUAUUAUUAAAUUAGUUGCACUGACUGGUGACAACAGAUUUUAUUGUGUCUGCUGUCAACCUCAUUUCAGGCAUAGAUAGAAAUGAAGGUGAUUUCCUUUAUUUUUAAAAUCUA
rnacentral:lncRNA from 1 species